UGGAAAGGAUCCCUAUAGAGACAGACCCUUUUGUUAAAGAGUAAAAUCCUUUUUGUUUAACCAGAAACGGCUCUGAAAUCGCUAUCGACAAACUCACCAGUCUCUAUUUAAAUUAACAAUACUUUUAGCGUGUAUAGAGCCAGCAUAUUUCCACAUGUAAAUGGGUUAAUAUAGGCUUAAUUUUAACCAAACCAGAGUGGUGAUUGUUGGAACAGUGGAAAGAUAAAUCAAGAUGGCUUUUGAUAUAUAUAUUUACUUUCUGUCU